CCUACGGGAGGCAGCAGUGAGGAAUAUUGGUCAAUGGCCGGAAGGCUGAACCAGCCAUGCCGCGUGAAGGUCAGUGCCCUAUGGGCGUUAAACUUCUUUUGUCCGGGAGCAAUAAUGGUCACGUGUGGCCAUACGAGAGUACCGUACGAAUAAGCAUCGGCUAACUCCGGGCCAGCAGCCGCGGUAACACGGGGAUGCAAGCGUUAUACGGAUUUAUUGGGGUUAAAGGGUGCGUAAGCUGGGAUGUAAGUCAGCGGUGAAAUGCCCCCGCUCAACGGGGUGAAGUGCCAUUGAUACUGGCUUGCUGGAAUGCGGAUGCGGUGGGAAGAAUGUGUGGUGUAGCGGUGAAAUGCAUAGAGAUCACACAGAACACCGAUUGCGAAGGCAUCUCACGAAUCCGCGAUUGACGCUGAUGCACGAAAGCGUGGGUAUCAAACAGGAUUAGAUACCCGGGUAGUC
rnacentral:rRNA from 1 species